UGAGUGUGUGUAUAUGUGCUUUUUGUUGAGAUUGCUAUAUCAGGGUGUUUUUGUUUUUUUUUUUGAAUGAUAGAAAUUGUCUUUCAUUUUUAUUUACCUAUCCUGUUUUAGAUCAGUGGUCAGCCCUGUUUUCUGCUGGGAUAAACCUUGUGGAAGAUCUCUUCAUGCACAAAGUGACACAGGUAUAUCAUUCAUCUGGGUCUGUGGCCUAGAAAAGACAGACUCUGAGUUUUGUGCAGCUCCCCAUGAAGAAAAUGAAGUACAACAAAAUCAAGCUCUUCGGCACAGGCUUCCAGGCACCAAGAGAUUUGGGACUAGCAUACAGAUCCACCACCCCACAAACUUACCUUUAUCACAGUUACAUAUUAAGAAUUUUAUAUUUGUACAUCUUAAUGCACCUUGUUUUGUAGGGCUGAUUGAAGACUUUUUUUGCCCUCUGGCGACAUUGUAACUGUGAAAGCAAUGGACGAAUAAAG
rnacentral:lncRNA from 1 species